rnacentral:rRNA from 1 species
UACGGAGGGUGCGAAACAGUUGCUCGGAAUCAUUGGGCGUAAAGCGCACGUAGGCGGCCUGAUAAGUCGGGUGUGAAAGCCCUGGGCUCAACCCAGGAAGUGCACUCGAAACUGUCAGGCUUGAAUAUGGAAGAGGGUCGCGGAAUUCCCGGUGUAGAGGUGAAAUUCGUAGAUAUCGGGAGGAACACCAGUGGCGAAGGCGGAGUCUCUGGACAUUUCCUGACGCUGAGGCACGAAAGCCAGGGGAGGCAACGGG